rnacentral:rRNA from 1 species
UGGCGGACGGGUGAGUAAUGUCUGGGAAACUGCCUGAUGGAGGGGGAUAACUACUGGAAACGGUAGCUAAUACCGCAUAACGUCGCAAGACCAAAGAGGGGGACCUCCGGGCCUCUUGCCAUCGGAUGUGCCCAGAUGGGAUUAGCUAGUAGGUGGGGUAACGGCUCACCUAGGCGACGAUCCCUAGCUGGUCUGAGGGGAUGACCAGCCACACUGGAACUGAGACACGGUCCAG